rnacentral:rRNA from 1 species
GGAAUCUUGCGCAAUGGGCGAAAGCCUGACGCAGCCAUGCCGCGUGAAUGAUGAAGGUCUUAGGAUUGUAAAAUUCUUUCACCGGGGACGAUAAUGACGGUACCCGGAGAAGAAGCCCCGGCUAACUUCGUGCCAGCAGCCGCGGUAAUACGAAGGGGGCUAGCGUUGCUCGGAAUUACUGGGCGUAAAGGGCGCGUAGGCGGACAUUUAAGUCAGGGGUGAAAUCCCAGAGCUCAACUCUGGAACUGCCUUUGAUACUGGGUGUCUUGAGUGUGAUAGAGGUAUGUGGAACUCCGAGUGUAGAGGUGAAAUUCGUAGAUAUUCGGAAGAACACCAGUGGCGAAGGCGACAUACUGGAUCAUUACUGACGCUGAGGCUCGAAAGCGUGGGGAGCAAACAGGAUUAGAUACCCUUG